GUGCGCGCUUCGGCAGCACAUAUACUAAAAUUGGAACGAUACGGAGAAGAUAAGCACGGCUCCUGCACAAGGAUGACGUGCAAAUUCAAGAAGCAUUCCAUAUUUUU